GUGGGGAAUCUUCCGCAAUGGACGAAAGUCUGACGGAGCAACGCCGCGUGAGUGAUGAAGGUCUUCGGAUUGUAAAGCUCUGUUAAUCGGGACGAAAGAGCCUAGUGUGAAUAAUGCUAGGAAGUGACGGUACCGGAAUAGAAAGCCACGGCUAACUACGUGCCAGCAGCCGCGGUAAUACGUAGGUGGCAAGCGUUGACCGGAAUUAUUGGGCGUAAAGCGCGCGCAGGCGGAUCUGCCAGUCUGUCUUAAAAGUUCGGGGCUUAACCCCGUGAUGGGAUGGAAACUACAGAUCUAGAGUAUCGGAGAGGAAAGUGGAAUUCCUAGUGUAGCGGUGAAAUGCGUAGAUAUUAGGAAGAACACCAGUGGCGAAGGCGACUUUCUGGACGAAAACUGACGCUGAGGCGCGAAAGCCAGGGGAGCGAACGGGAUUAGGAACCCCGGUAGUCC
rnacentral:rRNA from 1 species